AACGGCCCACCAAGGCGACGAUGACUAGGGGAUCUGAGAGGAUGACCCCCCACACUGGUACUGAGACACGGACCAGACUCCUACGGGAGGCAGCAGUAAGGAAUAUUGGUCAAUGGAGGCAACUCUGAACCAGCCAUGCCGCGUGCAGGAAGACUGCCCUAUGGGUUGUAAACUGCUUUUAUCUGGGAAUAAACCUAUUUACGUGUAGAUAGCUGAAUGUACCAGAAGAAUAAGGAUCGGCUAACUCCGUGCCAGCAGCCGCGGUAAUACGGAGGAUCCAAGCGUUAUCCGGAUUUAUUGGGUUUAAAGGGUGCGUAGGCGGCCUGUUAAGUCAGAGGUGAAAGACGGUAGCUCAACUAUCGCAGUGCCUUUGAUACUGAUGGGCUUGAAUGGACUAGAGGUAGGCGGAAUGAGACAAGUAGCGGUGAAAUGCAUAGAUAUGUCUCAGAACACCGAUUGCGAAGGCAGCUUACUAUGGUUUUAUUGACGCUGAGGCACGAAAGCGUGGGGAUCAAACAGGAUUAGAUACCCUGGU
rnacentral:rRNA from 1 species